CUGCUGAGCAACAUGAAUCUACUGCUUCUGAUCUGUGUGAGCGCGCUCUGUGAGUCGCAGCUCCAAAGUCCUGCAGUCGAGCUCCUGGUCCCCUCAGACGUCAACUCGUUCCUCCCCAUCCCGUUGACCUGUCUGGUGUCUGGAGUGAAGGACCCUGAUCAGGUCACGGUGGACUGGGAGGUGGUUGGGGCUGAUGGCAUCCAGCAGCUCAGUCCCACCAUCCUCCCCGUCAGCCAGGCGGUCGUCAUCAGCCAACAGGUUCAUGUUCCUGCAGAGAGCUGGUCUGCAGGAGUGGAGGUGUCCUGUGUGCUGAAUGACGGAGAGCUGAGCAUCAGAAAGACUGUCAGCAGCAGACUAGGAAAGUCCAGUCAGUGUGUGCUGCUGGCCUCCAUCACUGGUGCCGUGUGUGUCGUCCUGUUGACCGUCGCCAUGGCGCUCAGCGUCCUGUUGUUGUGCCGACAGAGGCGAAUCC
ensembl:lncRNA